rnacentral:rRNA from 1 species
UACGAAGGGGGCUAACGUUGCUCGGAAUUACUGGGCGUAAAGCGCGCGCAGGCGGCUAUCCAAGUCAGUGGUGAAAGCCCGGAGCUCAACUCCGGAACUGCCAUUGAAACUGUUUAGCUUGAGGACGAGAGAGGUGAGUGGAAUUCCCAGUGUAGAGGUGAAAUUCGUAGAUAUUGGGAAGAACACCGGUGGCGAAGGCGGCUCACUGGCUCGUAUCUGACGCUCAGGCGCGACAGCGUGGGGAUCAAACAGG